AGGUGCGUGGCCGAGCGGUCUAAGGCGCUAGGGUUUUAGGCACCAGUCAUUUCGAUGGCGUGGGUUCGAAUCCCACCGCUGCCA
rnacentral:tRNA from 1 species